GAAUAGGGGCCACGACAGGUAAAACGACACCGUUUGGAUUAUCUCCCCCACCACUGCGAGAACAUAAGCGGAGGAGAGAGAGCAGUGGGUGAUGACGAGUAAAAGGAUAUAAUAAGCAAAAAGGAAUUUCAAACCCAAAUCAAAUGCCAGCAGUAGCAUUAACAAAAUAUAAUCUCAUUUACCACCAGAGGGCAGCGCCGAUUAAGCACAAUCGCAGCAUUCGCAUUUGUGCCUCAAUUUUAGGCAUAGGCUGCAUAGCCGCCGGAGCCAACAAGGCCAUGGUGACCACCGCCGCAAGCAGCAGCAGCAAUGGUGGCGCGUAUACGACGAUCAAAGAGAGAGUGAGAUUCGAAAAGGAGAUCAAGAAGAGCAAGUUCAUCGCCAUCGCUGGUCCCAUCCCCGAUGAACAAUCCGCUCAAUCCUUCCUCUCCCAGGUCCGAGAUCAACGUGCUACUCACAAUUGCUGGGCGUACAAGGUUGGAGAUCAAUACCGGUCUAAUGAUGAUGGUGAACCGUCGGGAACAGCCGGAAAACCCAUUCAUUCUGCUAUUGAAUCUUCAGGAAUUGAUAGAGUUAUGGUGGUCGUCAUCAGGCACUUUGGAGGUAUUAAAUUGGGUACUGGAGGACUUGUCAGGGCUUAUGGAGGAGUUGCCUCAGAAUGCUUGAGAAAUGCCCCAACUUGUCUUGUAAAAUCCAAGGUGAGAAUGGGUGUGGAGGUUCCAUUUGAUCUUUUGGGCGUUCUAUACCAUCAGCUACAGUCUUUUCAAGUUGAAGACAUCAAGCAAGAUUAUGAGACUGGUAAAGAUGGCAUCACCGUGGUUACUUUCCAAGUUGAUUUUGACCGUAUUGAGAAAUUGGAGGAUGCUAUCAAAAGCCAUUGUAGCCGUGACUUAGUGUUCUAUAAGCGCUGAAACAGCCUUAGCUAGUGUAGACAUUUUCAUGAUGAAGCAUUUCAAGACUGGUACAUACAUUUUACGUCUGCUGUGCUUGGAAGCAAUCUUUUGCUACAGGUGGUUCUAUAGUAAGGUGGUCAAGUCACAUGAUUCCGUACUUUACUUACGAGCUCGUGUAGUACUCGCCCCUAUCUCUAAAGGGACUUGUGCACUCCACUCGCUGUUUACUAAACGAGUGAUUCUGAGAAGUAGCAUAGUAGUCAUACUCGAACUCCAAAUACAAUCUGCAGCAUCUUCAAUGAUUCUGGAUGGUUUGGCAUUUAUGCUAGCGCUGUAAGGCCCACCCUUUAGUUCUAAAUCUUCAUGGUUAAUGUGGCUUGCAUUUUGUUUUCCAUUUUUAGUAUUGGAAUACAAAGCUUUCCCAACCACAUCUCCUCAAACACCACUUAUCAGCUUACUCUCUCUCCCUAUAUAACUGGUCAUUCUUCUUCAUAUAGAUCCAAAAUAAGCGCUUUCAAACCUUCACUCCCAUUAGAGAAAGAAAAUGGCUGCUAGUCCUAUUGGAUACAACAUUGUGUGGUUAUUUGAAAAUUUCAGUGUCUCAGCAGGCUCAAGUUAACUUUCAAGUAUUGCGACGUUCCACUGCCUUCCUUUCCUACAUUGCCUAAACCCACAUUGCCAACUACCCCUUUGAUCCCAAGAACCCAAAUCCCUUUGCCAAAUAUUCCAACAUUGCCUUCCAUCCCUGCUGCCCCCAAGCUCACUCUACCUCCACUUCCUGCCACUCCAUUGCCAACUAUCCCGACUACGAUCCCUUCAAUCCCCUCCAUUCCAACAACAAUUCCAGCAGUUCCUUUCCUGUUCCCUCCGCCAUCAAAUUAAACAGCUGGUGGUGCCCUGUUUGAUUUUUGACAUCUACAUUUGACCUAUAUUAGAUAGAUGUUGGUUUUAUUGUUAAACGGUUCUGUAUUUGAGAGGAUUGAAGAGUGCGUGUUUGUUUGUCUUAUGAAAUUUUUUCUUGUCAUGCAUGCGUCCUAGAUAUAGAUGUAUUGUUUUUUGUAGUCAUUUCAGUUUAACAUGUGUAAUGCUCUUGUUGUAUUGUCUGCUUUGUUAGAAUAUACGAUUCUCAUCUGUUUUGGUGAUCA